UAAGAACUUUGAUCUCUUUGCUGCCUCUAGCCAUUGAGCAGUUUUGUCUCCCCUUUGUGUAAAUCACAGGCUGUUCUUCUCAUUCCAAUUUGGCAAGAAUGGCAGGUAUGCCUGUGUCAAAUUGCCUGCAUAACCUUCACUGCUUUAAGGCACACAUUGACAUUAAGUUGUCUCGGUGUGACGGUGUCUAAGGUAUCAGGUUUAUCUCUGCCACGUCAAGGUAGAGUCACCUUCUGCAUUGACUUUUUCAGCUAACUUGAUUGAAGUCAGUCUGUGCCCUCGGCUCUGCCUUCUGUGCCGAAUGGCAUGACAACGCGAGUCCCUGCAAACAGAGACCACAAGGAAAGCCUAGCUCCGGUGAAGUCCAAACUCCUGUUAAUUUUAUCACAGCACCCUUAGGAUACAUGGCUGUGCUAGUCUUUCCAUUCAGAAGAUGAAGAAAUGAGACAUAGAGGGCUGACAUCAUUCAAAAACAUUGGCACCGAGUUGACACCUCUAGUUGAAUCUUCAGUACCUUCUCCUCCCUAUAAAAGUGAUACUGCAGAACAGAACAAGUGCAGACUGGUGGUACAGUAAGUGGACACCUUGCACUGUUAAUUAUUUCUGAGGAUAAACAGAAAACUUUCAUUUCCAAGGUAGUAAGAAUGUAUGUUGUACUACAAAACAGAGCAAACAGACUUGACAGCUUAUCCUUUGUCCCUUCUUGAUGGUUAAUUCAGUGUAUUAAUACAAGACAGAGGAUGCACUACCCAAACCUGAAUUUUCUUCCCAGUACUGCCCAUGACAUGAAGUGCCUCAAUUCCUCCAUCUUUACACAGAAGAUGAUAGAAUGCACGUAUCGUUAUAGAGUACUUUGAGCUUCACUGUUACAAGGUACCAUAAGUACUAAAGAUCUAUGUUUCAAUAUCACAUAUAAUCACAAUGCUGAAAUUCCAUUGCCAAUUCAAUUUUCAGAAAUGGCGUCAAUAGACGUGGUUUGAAAUACUUUGCUUUGCUUUGCCAACAGGAAAAAGUUACAGAGUCUGGAAACAUUCCUGAUGCAAAAAAAAGGAAAACAAAAAACCACUGCCACAUCAAAUUCUGUUGUGUUGUACCAGGAUUCUCUAUUUGCUCCACUGCUUUCCAUCACAUUACACACAGGCUUGAGGCAGCCUGACAGUGCUGUUCUUGUACUGUGGAAGCUUGCAAGAAGCAUGCAGGUGCUCAACCCAGCGCAGUGGCUCCUUUGCAUGAGGCUGUGAAUGGAUAAAGAGUAAGAUA